GGCUCAGGAUGAACGCUAGCGGCAGGCUUAACACAUGCAAGUCGAGGGGUAACAGGUCUUUCGGGACGCUGACGACCGGCGCACGGGUGAGUAACGCGUAUGCAAUCUGCCUUCAGCUGGAGGAUAGCCCGGAGAAAUCCGGAUUAAUACUCCAAAUGCUAUCGGACGGCAUCGUCUGAUAUCUAAAGCUCCGGCGGCUGAUGAUGAGCAUGCGUGACAUUAGUUAGUUGGUGAGGUAACGGCUCACCAAGACUACGAUGUCUAUGGGGUCUUAAAGGAUGAUCCCACACACUGGUACUGAGACACGGACCAGACUCCUACGGGAGGCAGCAGUGAGGAAUAUUGGUCAAUGGGCGAAAGCCUGAACCAGCCAUGCCGCGUGAAGGAUGACGGCCCUACGGGUUGUAAACUUCUUUUGUACGGAAAGAACAAAGGCUACGUGUAGCCUCUUGACGGUACCGUACGAAUAAGCAUCGGCUAACUCCAUGCCAGCAGCCGCGGUAAUACGGAGGAUGCAAGCGUUAUCCGGAUUUAUUAGGUUUAAAGGGUGCGUAGGCGGAGUUUUAAGUCAGUGGUGAAAUCUUGUGGCUCAACCAUGAAACUGCCAUUGAUACUAUUGCUCUUGAAUGUAGUUGAGGUAGGCGGAAUGUGUAGUGUAGCGGUGAAAUGCUUAGAUAUUACACAGGACACCAAUUGCGAAGGCAGCUUACUAGACUAUGAUUGACGCUGAGGCACGAAAGCGUGGGGAGCGAACAGGAUUAGAUACCCUGGUAGUCCACGCUGUAAACGAUGAUCACUGGUUGUUGGCGAUACACUGUCAGCGACUGAGCGAAAGCAUUAAGUGAUCCACCUGGGGAGUACGUCGGCAACGAUGAAACUCAAAGGAAUUGACGGGGGCCCGCACAAGCGGAGGAACAUGUGGUUUAAUUCGAUGAUACGCGAGGAACCUUACCCGGGCUUAAAUGUAGCAUGACUGCUGUCGAAAGAUAGUUUCCCUUCGGGGCAAGUUACAAGGUGCUGCAUGGCUGUCGUCAGCUCGUGCCGUGAGGUGUCGGGUUAAGUCCCAUAACGAGCGCAACCCUUAUCGUUAGUUACCAGCGCGUAAAGGCGGGGACUCUAACGAGACUGCCACCGUAAGGUGUGAGGAAGGUGGGGAUGACGUCAAGUCAGCACGGCCCUUACGUCCAGGGCUACACACGUGUUACAAUGGCCAGUACAAAGGGCAGCUACCAGGCGACUGGAUGCUAAUCUCCAAAACUGGUCUUAGUUCGGAUUGAAGUCUGCAACUCGACUUCAUGAAGUUGGAUUCGCUAGUAAUCGCGCAUCAGCCACGGCGCGGUGAUACGUUCCCGGGCCUUGUACACACCGCCCGUCAAGCCAUGGAAGCUGGGGGUACCUGAAGUCCGUAACCGCAAGGA
rnacentral:rRNA from 1 species